rnacentral:rRNA from 1 species
GAUGAACGCUGGCGGCGUGCCUAAUACAUGCAAGUCGAGCGAACGGACGAGAAGCUUGCUUCUCUGAUGUUAGCGGCGGACGGGUGAGUAACACGUGGAUAACCUACCUAUAAGACUGGGAUAACUUCGGGAAACCGGAGCUAAUACCGGAUGAUAUUUUGAACCGCAUGGUUCAAAAGUGAAAGACGGUCUUGCUUUCACUUAUAGAUGGAUCCGCGCUGCAUUAGCUAGUUGGUAAGGUAACUGCUUACCAAGGCAACGAUGCAUAGCCGACCUGAGAGGGACGACGGACAGACGGGAAGUGAGAAACGGCCCAGACACCGACGGGAGGAAGCAGUAGGGAAUCUUACGGAAUGGGGGAAAGGCUGACGGAGCAAAGCCGCGGGAGUGAUGAAGGACUAAGGAUCGGAAAACGCUGUUAGUAGGGAAGAACAUAUGUGUAAGUAACUGGGAAGAUAAUGACGGUACCGAAUCAGAAAGCCACGGCUAACUACGUG